rnacentral:lncRNA from 9 species
CCCUGUUUCAGAGUCUGUUGCUGGAGAAACUCUACCUAAGACACUGUCCAAAAGCAUUCGACCCCAAGCAGCCCCACAACCUGCUCUGUCUUCCCAGCGGUCCCUCCCUAGUAAGAGCCGGGUGGAGGGAGCCUGGGCGCAUCCAACCUCAAAGGGCCUUGGCUGCACUGAAGUCCCAGGGUCAUCUCAACCUCCACAAGUCCCGAAAGCCUUGAAGUGGUUGGGUUUCCUCAUUUAUAUGUUUAGUACAUUAGCUAAUUAGCUCUGUUCCCAGGUUCCAGUACGGUUGCCUCAAGCGGAUCACGGUCUUGACUCUGACGUCAGGGGGCCACUCAGGCUGCCUGGGAAGAUGUUCUCUUUCAGGCCCACGGGGAUCAGCCCAGAGGAGAGAGGAAAAAGAGGGGAAGACUGGAUCGCAGGGUGUCACGGAAGGGUCACUGCUCCCCCACCCCUCUCUGCCUUUGAGCAAGGAGAAUCGAAUCAGCAUUUCCCUCCCUCGGGCAGCAGUGUUCCUGAGCCGGGCAGAGACAGGCCCUAGCGGUAAGUGGUCCACUUUUACUCUUCUUAAGUGGCCUGUCUUUAAAAAUAGCCUACAGCUUUCCUCUAUGCCUACUUUCUGGAAAGUUUUUAUCAGAAAUGGGUGUUGACUUUCGUCAAAAGCUUUGCCUGCAACUACUGAGAUGAUCUUAGAGUUUUUAUUCUUUAGUGUCUUAAUGUGGUGUAUCACACUGACUGAUGUGCAGAUAUGGAAGAAUCCUUGCAUCUCUGGGACAAAUCUCACGUGAUCAUGGUGCAGGAUACUUUUAGUGUACUGUCGGCUUUGGUUUGCUAAUAUUUUGUGGAGGAUUUUUGCAAUUAUGGUGAUCAGUGAUAUCGGCCUUUCCUUUUUUGUGCUAUCUUGGUCUGGUUUUGGUAUCAGGGUGAGGGUGGCUUCAUAGAAUGAGAAGAUGCUCACCAUCACUAAUUUAUUAAAGAAAUGUCAAUCAAAACUACAAUGAGAUAUUACCUCACCCCCGUCAGAAUGGCCAUCAGCAAAAAGUCUAUAAUCAAUAAGUGCUGGAGAGGAUAUGGAGAAAAGGGAACCUUCUACACUGUUGGUAGGAAUGUAAAUUGGUGCAACCACUACAGAGGACAGUACAAAGAUUCCUUAAAAAAUUAAAUAUAGAAGCAACAUAUGAUCUAGCAAUGCCACUCCUGGGCAUCUAUCCAGAGAAAAUCAUAAUUCAAAAGGAUACAUACUCCCCAAUGUUCAGUGUGGCACUGCUUACAAUAGCCAAGACAUGGAAGCAACCCAAAUGUCCACCAACAGAAAAGUGGUAUAUAUACACAAUGUCAUAUUAUUCAGCCAUAAAAAGAAGGAAAUAAUGCCAUGUGCAGCAACAGGAUGGACCUAGAGAUUAUCAUACUGAGUGAAUUAAGUCAAAGACAAACGUCAUAUGAUAACACUUGUAUGUGGAAUCUAGUAAAAAUGAUACAAAAGAACUCAUUUAAAAAACACAAACGGGGAGUUCCCGUCAUGGCGCAGUGGUUAACGAAUCCGACUAGGAACCAUGAGGUUGCGGGUUUGGUCCCUGCCCUUGCUCAGUGGGUUAACGAUCCGGCGUUGCCGUGAGCUGUGGUGUAGGUUGCAGACGCGGCUCGGAUCCUGCGUUGCUGUGGCUCUGGCAUAGGCUGGUAGCUACAGCUCCGAUUCGACCCCUAGCCUGGGAACCUCCAUAUGCCACGGGAACGGCCCAAGAAAUAGCAAAAAAAAAAAAAAAAAAAACACAAACGGGAGUUCCUGUUGUGGUGCAGCAGAAAUGAAUCCGACUAGGAUCCAUGAGGAUGUGGGUUGACUCCCCGGUCUCAUUCAGCAGGUCGGGGACCCGGCAUUGCUGUGAGCUGUGUUGUGGGUCACAGAUGCAGUUUGGAUCCCGAGUUGCUGCAGCUGUGGCGCAGGCCAGCAGCUGUAGCUCUGAUUUGAGCCCUAGCCUGGGAAACUCCAUAUACUGUGGGUGCGGCCCUAAAAAAAAAAGUUAAAACAGAAACAAACUCACAGAUUUCAAAAGAAAUCUUGUGGUUACUAUAGGAGAAACUGUUGUGGGCAGGGAGGAAUUGUGAGGAUGGGAAUAACAUAUUCACACGACUACACAAAAUAGAUGAUUAACAAGAACUACUGUAUAUAGCGCUCAGGGCGAUCUACUCAACAGUUUUUAACAACCUCUAUGGCAAAACAGAAUGGAUAUAUAUAUAUAUACACACAAAUAUAUAUAUAACCAAUAUAUACAUAAAAUAUAUAUAACCAAUAUAUAUAUAUAACUGAUUCACUUUGUUGUACACCUGAAACUAAUACAACAUUGUAAGUCAACAUACUCCAAUAUAAUUAAAAAAAAAAAAAAAAAAAAAGCCUACAUCUGCCAAAGGUCUGACCCCUAGCAUUUCUUACAUUUAAUUGCAAAUUACUGUCUUAGCAACUCUGCAGGCUUACCAGUCUGGCCUAAACCCAGUGAUAAAGGCCGAAAACAAGUGGAAUUAGAACCUGCGAUCUGCAGAGGCAAUUUGGGAUAUGGAUGUGAGGGCUCGCGGUAAUCCUACUUAGCAUAAACCAGGCAGCAGAACUUGGUUCGAGGGAGUUCCAAGGUCACCUGGUCCAGGCUUAGAGUCACAGGAGGGAGGACCAGACAGUCAAGACAUUGCCCUUCAAAGAACAGAGAAACAGAGUGACAUCAGGACCAAGCAGCCUGGCCUGCCAUCACCCCCACAGCGUGGCCUGGAAUCCACACUUAUUUAGUGAGAGCCUACUAUGUGCCAGGCCAUGAGCUAGGAUUAGGAACCUGGGGGUUAGAAAAGUUUUCCCUGAAGAAAGAGAGGAAGAUGUGCUGUGCCAAAAUGGAGAAGAGACUGGUAGAAGUGAUCAGGGAGCUUGGAGAAGAAUAAACACCGGGUCCUUGCAGCCUGAAUCCAGCCUCUCCUGGGGCUAAAGAUGAGUGAUAAGUGUGGGGUCAAUUAGGAGGAAGAGUCAUUAGGUCAUCUCCAGGAUGGUGAA